CAAGCCUCCGUCCUCGGGGAAACCGGCGAGGAUCCCGCAGCUCGGCCGGGCAGGGAGACCGCUUAUGUGGAAGUACCUUGUAAAUCCUGAAGACGUGUGGAGGUGCCAGGCAUUAUGCGCACAUCGUAUAAGCACUCAAAGGCCCCGGGAUGUGAAUCUUGCUGACUGUAAGUGAGAGAAGCUGGAUUCAAAUCCAAAUCUGGCUGAUUCCAAGUUUACUUUACAUGCUUCGUCAAGCUGCCUUAG